rnacentral:rRNA from 1 species
UACGUAGGGAGCGAGCGUUGUCCGGAUUCAUUGGGCGUAAAGAGCGCGUAGGCGGCCGUGCAAGUCGGUUGUGAAAUCCCGGGGCUCAACCCCGGGACUGCGUCCGAUACUGCACGGCUCGAGGCAGGUAGGGGAGAGUGGAAUUCCCGGUGUAGCGGUGAAAUGCGCAGAUAUCGGGAGGAACACCGGUGGCGAAGGCGGCUCUCUGGACCUGUCCUGACGCUGAGGCGCGAAAGCUAGGGGAGCGAACAGG